AUUGAACGCUGGCGGCAGGCUUAACACAUGCAAGUCGAGCGAGCGGCGGACGGGUGAGUAAUGUCUGGGAAACUGCCUGAUGGAGGGGGAUAACUACUGGAAACGGUAGCUAAUACCGCAUACCAUCAUAUGUGCCCAGAUGGGAUUAGCUAGUAGGUGGGGUAAUGGCUCACCUAGGCGUCGAUCCCUAGCUGGUCUGAGAGGAUGACCAGCCACACUGGAGCUGGGACCAGGUCCAAACUCCUACGAGAGGCAGCAGUGGGGAAUAUUGCACAGUGGGCGCAAGCCUGAUGCAGCCAUGCCGGGUGAGUGAAAAGGGCAUUCGAGUUGUAAAGCACUUUCAGCGGGGAGGCGUUACUCGCAGAAGAAGCACCGGCUAACUCCGUGCCAGCAGCCGCGGUAAUUC
rnacentral:rRNA from 1 species